ensembl:snRNA U6 U6 spliceosomal RNA
GUGCUCGCUUCGGCAGCACAUAUACUGAAAUUGGAACGAUACAGAGAAGAUUAGCAUGGCCCCUGCACAAGGAUGACAUGCAAAUUCGUGAAGCGUUCCAUAUUAAA